rnacentral:rRNA from 1 species
GAUGAACGCUGGCGGCGUGCUUAACACAUGCAAGUCGAACGAGAAGUGGAGACGGACACCUUCGGGCGGAAGACUUUAUUUCGAGUGGCGGACGGGUGAGUAACGCGUGGGUAACCUGCCUCAUACAGGGGGAUAACAGUUGGAAACGACUGUUAAUACCGCAUAAGACCACAGCACCGCAUGGUGCGGGGGUAAAAACUCCGGUGGUAUGAGAUGGACCCGCGUUCGAUUAGCCAGUUGGCGGGGUAACGGCCCACCAAAGCGACGAUCGAUAGCCGAUCUGAGAGGAUGACCGGCCACAUUGGGACUGAGACACGGCCCAAACUCCUACGGGAGGCAGCAGUGGGGAAUAUUGCACAAUGGGGGAAACCCUGAUGCAGCGACGCCGCGUGAGUGAAGAAGUAUUUUGGUAUGUAAAGCUCUAUCAGCAGGGAAGAAAAUGACGGUACCUGAGUAAGAAGCCCCGGCUAACUACGUG